AAUAUAUUGCCAGCAAUCCCCAAGGAGUAUUACAUGUAAAGGAAACAGAAAGAAACCAUACAUAGGGUAAUAUAGUAAAGACAGGGAGACCGGCAGAGUCCAGAGGGCCCAAGAAAAUGCUUGCCCAUGGUCCAAUUAGUAUUAAAGACAACCGUGGCUCUACUGAAGGUGCCUCUUUUUCCCAAAGAUGGUGUAAUACCAAAGAGCUGAAAAUUUACACUGUAAAGAGAUUCUCUCU